AUGAGGCACUGGGAAGCCAAAACAAGAAAGUCAAUGAAGCUCCAAGUGCCACUUGGACAGAAACAUCUCUCAGUAAAACAACCAAAGGAGAUUGCUUACUUCGGGCUUCACUCCAAAGGCAUGAAAGCCCCAAACCAGGCUCCCUUCGCACUGUUGCAAAUGUGGCUGCCUGUGUCAAUGGACUCACAUUCUAACAGUUGCCUGACUAAAGACAAGAGUGGUUUUCUCUUCCUGCUUGAGUUGGAAAGAUCCCACGGAAGGGCCGUUAUUGGCCAGAGAGUGAUCAUGUCCAGCCCAGAGCUAGAGAAGUUAGAGGACUAUUAUUGGCUCACUUUGGCUCAUAAAUUAAUGCUUAUCAUCUCACAAAUGAGGUCUGUUUCCAAAUUAAAUAGGAGAGGCUCAAAUAUGGUCACUGGGGAAAUUGUCAUCAUCUGGAAUAUCAUGAACAACCCAAUUUGUACAGGGUGUACCAAAACCCAGCAGUACCACAACAUGUUAAAGAUCCCAACACUGAUAGCAUCUGCCAAUGGAGAUUAAGACCCAAUCAUUUAAAUGUUCAGUACCUACAGUCUACAUAAGGAUAUUCAGACAGAAAACUAAAAAUAACCCAAAUAUCUACAAUAUCUAUUUCCAUUAAUUCUAAUAAACAAAA
rnacentral:lncRNA from 1 species